rnacentral:rRNA from 1 species
GAUGAACGCUAGCUACAGGCUUAACACAUGCAAGUCGAGGGGUAACGAGAGGAAAGCUUGCUUUCCUUGUCGACGACCGGCGCACGGGUGAGUAACGCGUAUCCAACCUGCCCCCAACUAGGGAAUAACCCUGCGAAAGUAAGACUAAUACCCUAUAAUUUCCUCAGAUGUCAUCUGACGAGGAAUAAAGAUUUAUCGGUUGUGGACGGGGACGCGUCUGAUUAGCUUGUUGGCGGGGUAACGGCCCACCAAGGGAACGAUCAGUAGGGGUUCUGAGAGGAAGGUCCCCCACAUUGGAACUGAGACACGGUCCAAACUCCUACGGGAGGCAGCAGUGAGGAAUAUUGGUCAAUGGGCGGAAGCCUGAACCAGCCAAGUAGCGUGCAGGAUGACGGCCCUAUGGGUUGUAAACUGCUUUUAUACAGGAAUAAAGUUAGCCACGUGUGGUUAUUUGUAGGUACUGUAUGAAUAAGGACCGGCUAAUUCCGUGCCAGCCGCCGCCGUAA